GAUCUAGAACCAGAAAUACCAUUUGACCCAGCAAUCCCAUUACUGGGUAUAUAACCACAGGACUAGAAAUCAUUCUACUAUAAAGACACUCACAAUAGCAAAGACUUGAAACCAACUCAGAUGCCUGUCAAUGAUAGGGUGGAUAAAGAAAAUGUGGCACGUAAACACCAUGGAACACUAUGCUGUCAUAAAAAAGGAUGAGUUCAUGUCCUUUGCAAGGACAUGGCUGAAGCUGGAAACCUUCAUUCUCAGCAAACAAACACAGGAAAAGAAAACCAAACACUGCAUGUGCUUAUUCAUAAGUUGGAGUCGAACAAUGAGACCACAUGGAUUGAAGGGGGACAUCCCACACUGGAGCCUGUUGUGGGGUGGGGCCCAGGGGAGGGAUAGCAUUAGGAAAAAUACCUAAUGCAGAUGACAGGUUGAUGGAUGCAGCAAACCACCAUGGCACAUGUAUACCUAUAUAACAAACCUACAUGUUCUGCACAUGUAUCCCAGAACUUAAAGUAACAUUAAAAAAAAAAGAAAAAGAAUCCUCUUGCAACCCAAUGCAAGUAUACACCUUGUGUGUACAAUAUUGUUUCACUUUAUUAUUCAAUAUAACACUCAACUCUCUUAACUGAAUCCUUAACAAGAGCAAUACCCUCACUAUGUGAUUCAUGAGUCUAUGCCCAGUUUUAAAGUGAUACCUAAUAUAUAAUAUUCACUCUAUAAAUGUUUUAUGAAUUCAUAAAUUUAGCAGAUAUUUGCAGAUAUCUAUGCAUUUCAUACUGAAUGCAUAGAUGAAUGUUCUGCUAAAUAUCAAGCAGCUAUAUCUUUGAGAAAAGACUGUGGCGUUGUCAAUAGAAAGGUUCUUAAAAGCGGCAGGGAUUGAUGAAGCUUUUAUAUAUACGGUUAACUCUCAGAUGACCAGCAGCACUUUCUAAAUCCGCGGGAAGUUAGUAAUUCCGUAAAGGCACAGUUUCACCCCUUCCUCAUUUCAUGUAUCGCUCAUGAUGAAAGGACUGGGGGCCCUGCCUGCCACACUUUUCCGUUUUUCUGUUGCUCCCACCGAAGCCGCAUGCCCGGCACCAUCCCAGCACCAUGAGCUUUGGCUGGGAGCACUACCUGUGCUCCUCCUCCUCCUACCUUAAAGUGUUGGGGAUGGCUCUCGCCUGUCCAUGCCUCUCCGGGUCAGCGGCGCGGGCAGCUUUCGCUCGCAGUCGGUGUCCCGCUGCAAUGUGGCCUCCUGGAUCAACUGCUCCUUGGCCACGUCGCUCGGCCUCUGCCUCUGCCUCGGCCUGGCCUACCGCCGGCCGCCGGCGUCUGACAGGCUGGACCUAAGCCAGACAACAGCGCGCACCAACGAGUACAAGAUCAGCUGCACCAACGAGGAGCAGCUGCAGGGCCUCGAUGACCGCUUCACGGUGUUCAUCGAAGGUGCAUUAGCAGGAUACGCAGAACCGCGCGCUGGAGACUGAGCUGGCCGCGCUGAGGCAGCGCCACGCCGAGCCGUCGCGCAUCUGCGAGCUCUUCCGAUUUGCGCGCGCAACUGGAGGAGGCGAGCUCGGCGCACGCGCAGGCCCUGCUGGAGCGCUACUGGCUGGCCGAGGAGGUGCAGCUGUUGCGGAUGCGUUGCGAGGAGGUGAGCUGUGGACGCGAAGCGCGGAGCGCGGAGCGCGCCCUGAGGCGCAGCAGCGCGACGUGGACGGCGCCACGUGGACGGUGCCACGUUGGCCCGCCCGAACCUGGAGUAGAAGGUGGAGUCGCUGCUAGACAAGCUGGCCUUCGUGCGCCUGGUGUACCAUGAGGAGGCAGCCAAGCUACUGGCCACGCUUCAGCUGUCAUCACAGGCCGCAGCCGAGGUGGAUGUGGCUGUGGCUAAAACAGACCUGAGCUUGGCGCUGAGGGAGAUUCACGCCCAGUAUGAGUCCCUGGCCACUAAGAACGGGCAGUCCUUGGAGUAAUGGCACAAGUUCAAGUUUGCCAACCUGAACCAGCAGGUGGCGAGCAGCACCGAGGCCGUCCAGGCCAGCACGAGGAGAUCCACGAGUACCGUGCCAGCUGCAGGCGCGCACCAUCGAGAUCGAGAGCCUGUGCGGGGCCAAGGAGUCCUUGGAGAGGGAUAUCCUGGAGCUGGAGGAGCGGCACAGUGCCGACGUGGCUGGCUACCAGGAUAGCACUGGGCAGCUGGAGAAUGAUCUGAGGAACACCAACAGUAAGAUGGCACGCCACCUUUGGGAAUACCAGGGCUUGCUCAAUGUCAAUAUGACUCUUGACAUUGAGGUAGCAGCUUACGGGGAACUGCUGGAAGGUGAAGAGACACGUUUUAGCACCAGUGGGUUAAGCAUUUCGGGGCUGAAUCCACUUCCCAAUCCAGGUUAUCUGCUCCCACCUAGAAUCCUCAGUUCUACAACCUCCAAAGUCUCAUACUCUGGGCUAUCUCUUAAGAAACAGGAGAAGGAGGCAUCUAAGGUAGCAUCUAAGCAAACCUCCCAGAUAGGGGAAAGUUUUGAAGAAAUGUUAGAGGAGACAGUAAUAUCUACUAAGAAAACUGAGAAAUCAAAUAUAGAAGAAACCACCAUUUCAAGCCAAAAAAUAAAAUGCCACUGCUUUGAAAAAGUUAAUGCUUAAAAGGAAAUGAUAUGCAUUUGACUUGUUAAACAGCCUAUCCCUAAACCAUAACACCUGCCACCACUAUAAAAUGUCUUUAAGGCUUCAGUCUCAUAUUUAGUAUUUAAUAUUUACAUUCUCUAAUAAGAAAACCACCCCUUAGAUUAAAGUAAACUGCAGUCCUGGAGCAAUCACAGACGAGUUAUCUGAGAAUACAGCUUUCUGACUUUCAGCCCAAGCUUCACAGUGAUCGAUGAUUCAGGUGCAGAGGAAGUACAAACUAAGGUACUAAGUCUGUGAUCAUCGUCAUUUGCUGUGAACUGAAAUUAAAAUUGUUGACGUUACUCAGCCAUUACCCAGCUAAAUAAUCUUACUCUAGAUACCUAAAACAUAAGAUUACUGCCAUAGAUAAACUAAUGGUCCACACCCAAUUCCACUCUGAUAGAAUAGUUUAAUAUGUGUUUAUUUAAUGUACACCUUCUACCUCCCUCAAUUUCAUAUAUCCUUUUUUUCCAUGCAGGAAAAAAAUUGUCUAGUGUAGUAGUCUUCCCAUUUAAACACAUUUUGGUUUUUGUCAAAAGA